rnacentral:rRNA from 1 species
AUACGUAGGGAGCGAGCGUUGUCCGGAAUUACUGGGCGUAAAGGGUGCGUAGGCGGCAUGGCAAGUCAGAUGUGAAAGCCCCGGGCUUAACUCGGGAACUGCAUUUGAAACUGCUGUGCUUGAGUGCAGGAGAGGAAAGCGGAAUUCCUAGUGUAGCGGUGAAAUGCGUAGAUAUUAGGAGGAACACCAGUGGCGAAGGCGGCUUUCUGGACUGCAACUGACGCUGAGGCACGAAAGCGUGGGGAGCAAACAGGAUUAGAUACCCUGGUAGUCCACGCUGUAAACGAUGGAUACUAGGUGUGGGGGAGCUACAACCUCCGUGCCGGAGCUAACGCAAUAAGUAUCCCGCCUGGGGAGUACGGUCGCAAGGCUGAA